rnacentral:rRNA from 1 species
AGUAACACGUGGGUAACCUGCCCCAUAAACUGGGACAACAGUUGGAAACGACUGCUAAUACCGGAUACUCUCGCGAGGAGGCAUCUCUUUGCGAGGAAAGGUGGCCUCUGCUUCAAGCUACCGAUAUGGGAUGGACCCGCGUCUGAUUAGCUAGUUGGUAGGGUAACGGCCUACCAAGGCGACGAUCAGUAGCCGGCCUGAGAGGGUGACCGGCCACAUUGGGACUGAGACACGGCCCAAACUCCUACGGGAGGCAGCAG